rnacentral:rRNA from 1 species
UACGUAGGGACCAAGCGUUGUUCGGAUUUACUGGGCGUAAAGGGCGCGUAGGCGGCUUGACAAGUCAGUUGUGAAAUCUCCGGGCUUAACUCGGAACGGCCAAGUGAAACUGUCAUGCUAGAGUGCAGAAGGGGCAAUCGGAAUUCUUGGUGUAGCGGUGAAAUGCGUAGAUAUCAAGAGGAACACCUGAGGUGAAGACGGGUUGCUGGGCUGACACUGGCGCUGAGGCGCGAAAGCCUGGGGAGCAAACGGG